AGAUGAAUAAGCACCGGCUAACUCCGUGCCAGCAGCCGCGGUAAUACGGAGGGUGCAAGCGUUGUCCGGAUUUAUUGGGUUUAAAGGGUGCGUAGGCGGCCCGUUAAGUCAGCGGUGAAAUCCCACGGCUCAACCGUGGAACUGCCGUUGAUACUGGCGGGCUUGAGUUCGGUGAAGGCGGGCGGAACUGGCGGUGUAGCGGUGAAAUGAUUAGAUACCGCCAAGAACCCCGAUUGCGUAGGCAGCUCGCUGUGCCGAAACUGACGCUGAGGCACGAAAGCGUGGGGAGCGAACAGGAUUAGAUACCCUGGUAGUCCACGCCGUAAACGAUGAUGACUCGAUGUUGGCGAUACACUGUCAGCGUCCAAGCGAAAG
rnacentral:rRNA from 1 species